UACAGAGGUCUCAAGCGUUGUUCGGAUUCAUUGGGCGUAAAGGGCGCGUAGGCGGCGGGGGAAGUCUGGUGUGAAAUCUCGGAGCUCAACUCCGAAAUUGCACUGGAUACUGCUCUGCUUGAGGGUUGGAGAGGAGAUCGGAAUUCACGGUGUAGCAGUGAAAUGCGUAGAUAUCGUGAGGAAGACCAGUGGCGAAGGCGGAUCUCUGGACAAAUCCUGACGCUGAGGCGCGAAGGCUAGGGGAGCAAACGGG
rnacentral:rRNA from 1 species